UGUCUUGUCUAAUGUCUGUUCCACUUGUCUCCCUAGUCUCUUCUUCAUUUUCACUCUAUCAUUUCUGUUCUUAAAUUGUGCGUUUCCUUUAGUUUCUUAAUAUCACUUAAAUGGGAGCGAUACUUUGGUCGAGUGUAAAAUGUGUGGAUUUUGAAUUUACCUGGCCUUUCAGACCUCUUUUUUUCUUGUUUGUAAAACAAAUGAGUCUUGUCUAUUAUGCUUGGUUUUAAAGAUUAGACAUAAGAAAAGAUUGAGUACAUAUUUAGUAAAUGAUCAGUCUUGAUAGAAUGACAGCAAGACCCCUCAAGAUCCAAAUAACUAACUAGUCACGGUUGAACUCUCUCCAAUGCAAUGCAAACAGCACUUUCAGCCUGCUUCCCUAAAGGGACUUCUCUGUCCAU
rnacentral:lncRNA from 1 species